rnacentral:rRNA from 1 species
CCUACGGGAGGCUGCAGUGGGGAAUAUUGCGCAAUGGGGGGAACCCUGACGCAGCAACGCCGCGUGAGCGAAGAAGGCCUUCGGGUCGUAAAGCUCUGUCAUAGGGGAAGAGGAGAAGACGGUACCCUAUGAGGAAGCCCCGGCUAACUACGUGCCAGCAGCCGCGGUAAUACGUAGGGGGCGAGCGUUGUCCGGAAUUACUGGGCGUAAAGGGUGCGUAGGCGGCCUGAUAAGUCAGAUGUGAAAUACCAGGGCUCAACCCUGGGGGUGCAUUUGAAACUGUCGGGCUUGAGUGCAGGAGAGGAAAGCGGAAUUCCUGGUGUAGCGGUGAAAUGCGUAGAUAUCAGGAGGAACACCAGUGGCGAAGGCGGCUUUCUGGACUGUAACUGACGCUGAGGCACGAAAGCGUGGGGAGCGAACAGGAUUAGAUACCCCAGUAGUC